GACGUAGGGGGCCAGCGUUGCUCGGAAUUACUGGGCGUAAAGGGUCCGUAGGCGGUGCGGCAAGUCGGAAGUGAAAUCUCCGGGCUUAACCCGGAGGCUGCUCCCGAAACUGCCGUGCUCGAGUGUGGGAGAGGCGAGUGGAAUUGCAGGUGUAGCGGUGAAAUGCGUAGAUAUCUGCAGGAACACCAGAGGCGAAGGCGGCUCGCUGGACCACAACUGACGCUGAGGGACGAAAGCUAGGGGAGCAAACAGG
rnacentral:rRNA from 1 species